ACGGGAGGCAGCAGUGAGGAAUAUUGGGCAAUGGGCGCAAGCCUGACCCAGCAACGCCGCGUGAAGGAAGACGGUCUUCGGAUUGUAAACUUCUUUUGUUAAGGACGAAGAAUGACGGUACUUGACGAAUAAGCCACGGCUAACUACGUGCCAGCAGCCGCGGUAAUACGUAGGUGGCGAGCGUUGUCCGGAUUUACUGGGUGUAAAGGGCGAGUAGGCGGAUUUGCAAGUCAGGUGUGAAAGCCCGGGGCUUAACCCCGGGUCUGCAUUUGAAACUGUAAAUCUUGAGUAUCGGAGAGGCAGGCGGAAUUCCCGGUGUAGCGGUGGAAUGCGUAGAUAUCGGGAGGAACACCAGUGGCGAAGGCGGCCUGCUGGACGACAACUGACGCUGAGGAGCGAAAGCGUGGGGAGCAAACAGGAUUAGAUACCCUGGUA
rnacentral:rRNA from 1 species